CUCCCGGCCGGCGAGGUCCGCCGCGGCCCGCCGGCCCCCGAGCCCCGACUCCCGGCGCGGGGGGCACCCGCCUGGCGGACAGAGACGGGAAUCCUGAACCGCAGGGACACGUCCAGCCUCUGACCCGAAAGGGGGAAGUGCUCAGACCUGGUUCUGCUCGGCGGGAGGUUAGCAGGGGAACAAAGAUCCUACAUGUUCUUAGUGAUGAAAGCGGCAUUUGACAGUAAAGGAGAGCUGCCUCUGAGAAGCACAGGUGAAGAGGCGUGCCCCUUCGCAGCUCCUGAAUUGAGGGGUCUGGGAGCGGCAAGGGGUCAGACUCCUCACUGGUCCCCCACUCCCAACCUUGUGAAACACCUGUUAAGGCCCAUCCACCAGAGCCACCUGCCCACCCCUAUGACAUCAGAGGAUCUGAACCACCAGGACCGCUGCCAAGAUGCCUCCAGGGAAAAUACCAGCAACCAGAGCGCUCCCUGUCCAACCUGAGCAACCGGAGAGAAGCAGGAGGAGACGUGAGACAGACAGAGAGCAGGAGGCAAUGCGGCCACAGAGGCCGAGGCUGGCGGGAAGCCAGCACAGAGCCAGGGAUGGCGGCAGCCACCAGAACCCAGGAGAGGCGCAGGAGGAGCUCUCCCCCCGAGCCUGCAGAGGGAGUGUGGCCCUAACGCUUCAAUUUCAGUCUUCCGGAAUCCAGAACUGUGAGAAAAUAAAUUCUUUUUUGUUUUAAGCCAGCCAGUUUGAGGUAAUUUGUUAUAGCAUCUUGGUAAAUUCACACAGUACCUAUAAGAAAAUAAUAAGUUA